CCCAGGAACAGCUGCAAGGACCCAGCUACGAUGACAGGGAAGGUUCUCUUGUUCUCCCCCGGCUCCACAGCGAGCUCCUCUCUGCCGGGCUACGUCGCUCUCUGCCUCGCUCUACAGGUUACCAGGCUGGUGUCAGCACAAUUCACAGUGACGGGACCUGACCAUCCGAUCACUGCCUCCCUAGUGUGCUGGCUUUUGUGAAUGACAGUCUAGAGCACCUACCUCUCCCCGUUCAUUGUAUGGGAUCCUGGGCACUGUCACGAUGCUGCUGUGCUCACAACGCCGAACUCCAGCCUGCGUCACUAAACUGAAGUUCCAGAGCGAGGGGCUGAAAGAGGAGAAGAGAAAAACAUGGGUCCAGAUUCAGUGAAUCCCUCCCAGCCCCACACAAGUCUUCAGAGCCAUUGCCCUGAGGGAUGGCAGGUUCUGUUACUGCUGCCAUACUCCCCACGGGUGUCUGCCAGGCCAGGAGGUGCUUCACCUCCCCUAGAGCUCUGUCAGUGGGAGUCAUGGAGAGGCCGUGAGUCUGCACCCUGGAGCCCUGGUCAGGCUCCCUUCCUGGACAGAGCUGGCUGCGCUGUGGGCAGAGCUGGCCCUGGUGGCUGUCCCAGUGUAGGGGAAGUUCCAGGGAGGGCUUAACACCACUGCACAGCCUGGCAGGGGCUGAAUGGUUGGGUGCAGCAUG